GGGGAUGUGGCUCAGCGGUAGCGCGCUCGUCUGGCAUGCGAGCGGCCCAGGUUCGAUCCUCAGCACCA
rfam:Ictidomys tridecemlineatus contig055236, whole genome shotgun sequence.